rnacentral:rRNA from 1 species
AUGCACUUUAUUCCCCGUCUUUCACUCUUUUUCCUCCUCUCUUCUUCUCCCUCCUCUCUCCCCCAUCGUCGGCCGCACACCAUUUCCCCCCGCUCACUGCUCGCCCGCCCGCGCCAUCUUCCUUGUAGACACAAAUGCGCUGGCCUUCAUGAUUCCAGGACCUGGAAUCAUACCAGCCGAUGGUACCAUACAACUGGAAUUAACCGAUACAACUCCAAGAAGGAUUGGCCGGUGCUGCCGGCUGGCGUCAAGUUCGAUCCCACGGAUCAGGAGCUGAUCGAGCACCUUGAGGCCAAAGUGAGUGCUGACAGCGCAAGAUCUCACCCUCUCAUCGAUUUGUUCAUACCAACCAUCGACAGCGAGCACGGCAUAUGCUACACCCAUCCUGAGAAACUUCCAGGUAUCACACUGAGUGGCCUAAGCAAGCAUUUCUUCCAGCGCAAUUCCAGGGCGUUCAAAAGGAGCACUUGGACGCGUUGCAAGAUACAGUCGGAGUGUGGAAUGCACGCGAUGUGGCACAAGACCGGCAAUACCUUGCCGGUGAUAGUUAAUGGCCGGCAGACGGGCAACAAAAAGGUUCUGGUGCUGCACACCAACAAGAACUUCGACCAUUCCCGCAAAAAAAAGAACUUCGACCGGCAGAGGACCAACUGCGUGAUGCACCAGUACCACCUCGGGGACCUGGAGCAAGAGAAGGAGAGGGAGUUGGUCCUCUGCAAGAUUUUCUACCAAAAGAACACUAGGGCCGGGACUAAAAAGAUUAUAAGUCGAGCAAGUUUCAACUGGGCUGUAGACUGCCCAAGCUUGGUUUUGUUUUUAAUAGCCCCAGCCCAUGACGACAACGGGGCACAAAGAUCCAGCAGGGUUACCCAACCACCCUUACGAGAUAGAAAGGAGUUGCUCCGGGAGCGUGGUUCGAUGCUACCCUUGCCACCGCGUCACGUCAAGGAGAAGCCGCACUCUCUGCCGCACUACCGCGUCAAGGAGGGGAUGUCACCUCUCUACCGCGUGAAGGAGGAGCCCGCGCCCCCACACAACUGCGGCGUCCAAAGCAGACAUUGCGUCAAGCAGAAGCCGAUGUCACCGACAUGCAACCGCAACAUCCAAAUCGGGUGCCACGUGAAGGAGGAGCCGACGUAG